ACGACAUUGUGCUGAGACUGCACGUGGCAAGACAUCCUGCCUGCACCUGAAAGUCUCCUGCCAAGAUGGGAAGUCCUGGAGAUACACAGAUCAUCCAGAGGAGCCAGGAGACAAGGUCAGAGAUUGUCUGCCUCCUUUCCCCAGAAGCCUGGGAAGAAUCAAGUCUGAAGACAGAGCUCCAGGUGCUGCCUGAGUCAUACUUUGAGAAAACUAUGUUUGUGCUACCUCAAGACCAUGGCUGCAGCGUGGAACAGUCCCUGCACAGAAGAGAGAUCAGCACUGAAAACCAAACAAGCACCAAGGACCAAAGAAGUACCAAACAAGCACCAAGGACCAAAGAAGUACCAAACAAGCACCAAGGACCAAACAAGCACCAAACAAGAAACACUCUAAGCAGAGCUGCUUCUUCCUCCCUGCUCCCACUUGCCUGGCUGCAGUCAGCACAUCCUGGAUGCAACGAUGACAAAGGAAAGCUGCUUCCACAAAUGUGGUGUAAAUAUGAAGAUGAGAGAGGAACAAUCAGAGACAGAGGAAAUGGGAAAGGACACUUGGACUCACACAAGCUGCCAGAUAGAGAAAGCUCAGCUGGUAAUGAACAGUGAUGGAAAGAGAAGUGGGCUCCCAUCCAGAGAGGAAGGGUAAAAAGCAAAUGCUGCUGCUGCAUCAGCCAGAGUUACAAGGCUUCG